rnacentral:rRNA from 1 species
UACGUAGGGUGCAAGCGUUAAUCGGAAUUACUGGGCGUAAAGCGUGCGCAGGCGGUUGUGCAAGACAGAUGUGAAAAUCCCCGGGCUCAACCUGGGAAUUGCAUUUGUGACUGCACGGCUAGAGUGUGUCAGAGGGGGGGUAGAAUUCCACGUGUAGCAGUGAAAUGCGUAGAGAUGUGGAGGAAUACCGAUGGCGAAGGCAGCCCCCCUGGGAUAACACUGACGCUCAUGCACGAAAAGCGUGGGGGAGCAAAACAGG